GUGGAACCAAUAAUGUCUUCAGGCUCUUAUUCUCUUCAUUUCUUAAUGUUUUUCAUCUAUCAGUUAUGAUAGGGUUAGUGUUUCCCUGAAGCUUCUACUUUCCUCCUGGUUACAACAUAGAGAAACUUUAUCAAAGAGAAGACAAAGCUACCCUUAGGACCUGAUUGGCCUAUGUAAUUUUCUUAACCUUCCCUGACACAGAUUUCUGGUCAUCUAAGGGUGUAAAAAGUCCCAGUCAUGUGGAAUCUAGACCCUUUGAACUUAAUGAACAUCUGAAGCCUGGGUACAGGUGACAGAGUCCCUGGUUCUGCAAUCAUGAAACAAGAAGACCUGGGAGUAAACAUUACAGAAAAGUAUGGUGGACCUCAGGCCAUUUGUUUAUGAGGAAAGAAACUAAACAGGAAAAAAAAAGACUGAUUAAGUCAAGUUUAAAAAAAACCCACCACUUUUUCAGGUAUAUCUUCUAAUUAAAAUUCUUUGUUUCAACUUACCAGAUGAUUCUUCUUUAUUAGUUCCAGUAUGAAAUGAGGCAUGCCUCUGUAGUAGUUUGUUUU
rnacentral:lncRNA from 1 species